UCCUCCUCAUCUCGCCACCUGUUUCCCCCACUACACCCCCAAAACGUCACCGUUUCAUUCUCACUCCUUCCUCACACCCCUCUCCUUUUCCCCACAUUCCUUCGUUUCAUAUCAACUCAAAAAUUCAUUCUUUCAACAUUAAUAAUAAUAAUUUUAUUGAAAUAAAUCAAUCAAAAAGGUAACCCCAAAUAUCUCCUCCAGCUUUUUGCUGCUUCUUAAUUUUGAUCGACUAUGACGAUGUACUAAAGCUUCAAUUUUUUUCGGUUUUUUCAGUCAACGCUUUUGCUUCAAGAUUUCGUUUUACCUUCCUUGAAAAUUAAAGCUCACCUAAUUGAUACGAUUAAAAUUCUUUUUUUAGCUGAAGAUUGAUACAAUUUUCACUUCAUUUUUUUCUUAACUUUGUAUCCGGAUUUGCUACUUUUGUUUAAAGUUUUUUAUUUUUUUUAUAUUUUUCUGUGGAGCUAAGCAUGACUUUGGUUACAGCUUUAUAUUAUUUUAACAUAUAAUUAGACUAAUUUAUUUAUUUGUGGAUUUAUUAUUUUUUAAAUAUGGUUUGAGACUUCUGAUGUUUCAAUAUUUAUUGCACACGUGUAGUGCAGUGGCUUUAAUGAAUGUGGUAUUGUAAAGUUUAAAGCUUUUUGCAUGUGAAUGAGUUGGUGUGUACUCUUCCAUUGAUGUUUAGAUUCAUGUAUGUGGUGAUCUCUGAUCUGGGUACACGUUAGAUUUUAAUUUUAUUGUUACUUAAACUGAUGAACACGAAUUUUGAAGUGAAUACGUGUGUUUGAUUGACUGGAUUUUGUAAGAUUCCUUUGUAGAAGUAUUUUAAUCCCACGAAGAGUAUGAUUCAGCAAAUAGCUUUGGGAAUGGUAUUGAUUCUAUUCUUGUUUGUUUAUUCAUAUAAUAACUUUGAUGCAACCUUCAGAUUCCUUUUGAACCAUGUAGUUAUAUAUUUGGAUUAGUUUAUAGCAUAUCAACUGUUGAUUGUUGCAUUUAGAUGUUUUUUGUUACUUCCGCUCUUGAUUGCUUAUUAUAUGUCAGUUAAAGAGCAAACAUUAUACAAGUUCUUGAUUGAUUAGUGCUCUUUCGUAUAACGGGUUCGUGACUGAUGUUCACUUUCUUAUUUGAAUAUUCAGAUACUUCCGUAGCUGAUGGCUUCGCCGGAUAUUGAGUCUCCCUGGCUUUGUGCCGCUGGUGAAUCCGUCUGUGGGUCGUUUAAUAUACGCGUGGAGGAGGGGAAUGCAGCCGAUAUUUUACAUGUGCUGGAAGUUCCCACCUCUUCUGUACCCUAUAACUGUAGUAUACCCAAGCCACCCCCUCUCCCUAUUAAACCCUGUACAAAAAACAAAUAUCCCAAUAGAUUUUUACAUUGUAGUUUUGUUCCAAAGGAAACAAAGGAUGUAUGGGAUAAGCUUUUCAAGGAAGGAAAUGGUGCAGAUGUCUAUAUUAUCACCAAGGACGAAUCCUGUAUUCAAGCUCAUUCCAGUAUACUGGUGAGUUAAUUGAACUUUGCCUUCUCUGUUAAAGUAGAGCUACCCCGGGUUUUCUCAAUGACAAUUGCUUUAGUACUGUAAAGUAAUUUCACUUCGGAGAUGUUAUGGAUGUUAAAUAGAUGGUCCAGUGGCUAAGUUAGCAAUUUUAGAACCUGGCUGAAGAGUUGGCAUCUAUUCAACAUAAAUAUACAGUGUUUGGAAUUACUCUGUUUAUAAAUGGAUAGAAGAAAUCCUGGGACCAUCUAACCUGUGCUGGGGAAUAUUCUGCAGCAAUCAAAAGCAAAGAAUGGUUUCAGAUAUAUCAAAAUUCCUGGGAUGCCUCAUGAAGCUGUCUAUGCAUUCGUUCGUUUUCUCUAUUCCUCCUGGUAUGUUGAAAGAAUGUUGCUAUAUUCUCAUUGUGCUUAAAACGAUCAAUAUGGUUUUCGGAGGAUUUGCAUGUUACUGAUUUAUUGGGUCCUAGAUUCCUUGAAAAUGAAUUAUUAUGGGUGUUGAUGAUUGAAAAAGGGGUCCAUGAUAUAUCAAAAUUGCUUGGUUUAUUUUUCUCAUGCACUGUAGUUCGUUUGUUCUAGUUUUCAAGAAUCGUGAGGCGUUGGUUAUUACGUCAUCCAUAUAUGCUUGGUAUAUGGUGUACUCUUUCAUUUAUAAAUAAAAUAAAGUUUGCUCAUUCCUUAGAGGUUUAAUGACAUCCAUCUCUGUAUAUAUAAAAGACUACGUCCAAUCAAAGUUUUGAUUUUAAAUAUAUUUUAGUUUGAAGGGCAUACGGAGCAGUGAUGAACACAUUUGACGAGUUGGAAUGGGGGAUAUGUUGAAGAGUUUUGUAACUAAAAUGUUGUAGCUCAAAACCAACUAACUUUUUCCUUUUCAGUUGAUUAAAUUCAUGACAAUACAAGAAAAGCUUUUAGUGUACGAGCCUUAGUAUAAUUUUUUAAAUAGAGCUUAUUUUACUAUAGCUUUAUUAGUUGAGCUUUUACAAGUAAAAUUUUUAAAUAAAAAAGAAUUAAUUAUUUGAUUGUUAACGAUAUUUUUUAUUUCUUUUAAAAUUAUGUUGUGAAAGAAAUGAAAUAAGAUUGUCAAAUAAGUAAAUGAUAGUUUUAAAAUUUUAACAUUUUAAAAAGCUUAUCAACCUUUACUGUCAAAAAUCCAAAAUUUGAGCUUUUGUUUGCAACGGUAAAAUAACUUAUUUAAUCAUCAAAAAUUCUAUUAAAAAAUUAACUAACAAUAAUAAUAAAUUUUAAAAGAGAUUAUGAGAUUAAAUAAAUACUUAUGGUCAUUAGAUAAGUGAUGCUAAGCAAAGACUAAAAAAUCAAAAAGAAAUAAAAAAACGCAACAGAUCAGCUUAUGGGAGACAAAAUGAGUUUUACCUUAAUUAAAUACAAGAAAUAAAAAAAUUGAGAAGCUCCACGCAGAGAGCAAGAAAAGUAGAGAACCAAAAGUUAACAUAAAUAAUAGUUUGAAAAGCCAUUAGCAUCUCUAGAAAGAAAAACUGAAGCUUAUGCAAGAGGUCAAGACCACAAGUGAAAGAAAAGGUAAAGCGUCUACAUGAGGUAAAGAUCACCAAAUAAAGUCUGUACAAUGAAGCUCAGGAUUAACAAUGACAAUCUUGAGCAGUAAUGCAACAUCAAAAGAAUUUAUUCGGUUGGAGUCAAAGAAUGAAUGUGAUAAUUGUUGAUGCCAAAAUCUGCUCGUCCGUGGACCGACCAGAUUCGCUCACCAACGUUUAAGUUCUCGACUGCUGCUUGAACCGCUAAGGCUGCAAUUAACCUUCUCUCUCUCUCACUAGACCUGCGUACACCAAAAACGGAUCAGAGACGCCGGUGGUUUUGCCGGCGUAAACCCUCCGAUGCCUAAGUUAGCACAAGGUGUUUACGGGAAAGCGAUUAAAUUUGGAUUUACGAAUGGUUCGAGAUUUGCUCAAAGUUUAUAGGAAAAUGGCCUGGUUGCAAUUUGGCAGCGUUUUCCCUCUCUCAGUUUUUCUGUCCCUUCUUCAUCGAUUUCUUCUCAUUUUAUAGCCGCUGCCCCCACGUUUUCGUUUGCCCUUCAUCCCACCUUUUUCGGGUAGUGGCAACCCCUCAUGGGACUCUAACUGUUACAUUGUGGGCAAACGUGGAUCUCGCGUGUCCUUCGACGGUUCUGGAAAAGCGUAACUACUGUGAUUUCGUGGGAUCGUGUUCCCGCUUUUCCGGGGAUGAAUGUCGGCUCGGUAUAUACCUCUGGUCGGUAUGUUUCCUUGGUUGUAUCCAUCUCUGGUCCGCUCAUGCUCGCCCCCGUGUUCUGCUCAUAUCAUUUUGGCUGAAGCAAUCCGUGCCGGGGCGAGAAUAGUAGCAUGGUCGACCUGGUGCCGACCUGGUGCCGACCUGGUGCUCUUAUGUACUCAACACCAGUCCCCCAGUUUCUGGUCUGGUGAGUGAAAUGAAUGAAGAGCAGAAACUGAUGGUCAAAUCUCGCCAACCCGGGGAACUUCUCAUCUGGUCUUUUGUUUGCUGGGGCGGACCUGAGGUACCAUCCUUGUUCUGGGGGGAUUCCGACCUGAGCAUGGGCCUAAAUAAGCAUGCCCAUUGCAUAUCUGGGCUUGCAUCUAUCCUGGCCUCUCGUAACGGUUGGUGACGUGGCGCUUCCCGACUCUCCGUAUUUGAAAUUUGAAACGACGGGCUAUUCGUCCUCGAUAUAUGGGGGGUGAGCUGGCAUAUCCCAUCACUUAAAUGCUUCCAUUUCCCCCUUUUUCGUUUCAAAUCCCUAGACUGGAGUCAUCAUCCUUUUGUUAUUCGUUUCUCCGCCGUCAACCAAAUUUUCUCUGAACUUUGCUUACACUUCCAGCGUCCGGAGUAUCCAUUUGCCGGGUGUUUUCUCUGUCACGGCAGCGCUAUCAGUGUCAGUCUAUUCCAGGUAUAGUCUUUUAACUUCUCCUCUGGUUGUUGUUGAUUGGGUUCUGUGUUGCCCUCUUUGUGUCCAUAUACUUGAGUUUUCUCUGUUUUCUUUUGGGGAUUCCGGUAUGUCAAAUCGGAAGAGGAAGUUAAUUAUUGAUGAGGGUGAUGAAGAGUCAGGGGACUCAGGCCUCAAUGUGCCAAUGCCCACUGAUUACUUAGACCCCUCUAGUAGUGUAGGUCCUUCCCAUGGCAGGGAUACCCUUGAAUACCCACGCCCUUUGGUUAUCUCUCCUUCCCCCGAACUAGAGCUUGUAGGGAAUAGAGGUGGACCUGCGUCGGGCUCUGGUGAGAAUCACGGUUCUGGUGGGGUUGGGGUCCUUGAAGGAGUUGGUGAUGGUGAGGGGAGCAGUUCCGGACCGAGCCGACCUGCUCAGAAAAGGAACCUAGGCCAUAGGGUGGAGGCUGAUUCCUACCCUAUUGAUUUCAUGGCUUGUGCCACCACCCCCACCGAUCUAUUUAAACUUAGGAAUCUCUACAACAUCCCCAGCGAUGUUCUUCUUGUAGUUCCUGGGAAGGGUGAUGUUCCUAGUCGGCCUCCGCGGGGGUAUGUGACGAUGCAUCUGGAGAGCUUCAAAUUAGGAGCUCGGCUACCCCUUCAACGCUAUUUUGCUAAGAUACUAGGUGGUAUGCACCUGGCCCCAGGUCAGCUACACCCCAACGGUUGAAGGGUUCUCUCGGCUAUGUAUGUGUUGUGGGAGAGGUGUGGAUCAGAGGAGCCCUCCCUUGUUGAAGUGAAACAUCUGUAUCAGCUGCGGAGCAGCCCAAGGGAGGCGGGCUGGUACUACUUCAUGUCCAGUUCUGCGAAGAGAAAGCCAAUCACCGGUUUCCCCUCCUCCUGCAAAAAUUGGAAGAACAAAUUCUUCUUUGCUGGGGGAAAUUGGUGUUCAGCACUCCGUUCGUUGGGUGGUGAUGUUUACGUUCCAACGCAGUUUGUCACCCCAGGUCGUUCAUUUUUUACCUGUAUUCUUUCUCGAAUUGCCACUUAUUGGGUUCUUUAACCUUGUUUGUUAUUUCAGAGUCAUGGGGUUUGAUCGGGGGGCUUGAAGAUCGACCCUUGCUUCAGGUGGAAACUACUCUGGUGAACGCUUCUACUUGCCAAGACCUCCUGUCUCCAACAAACCUGGUCGAUUCGGGCCUAGUGGAUAUAGCUGCUGGAAUGGAUAACAAGAUCCUCAGCGCGAUGAGCAGGAAGCGUGGUCGGGCCCCGAGUAGCUCCAGCAACCCCCCUCCUCCUCCGAAGAAACUUAGCGUUGGUCCUUCCAAGGCGCCUGUUCCUGCUCUGCCUCCUCCUCCACCUCGUAAGAGUGGUGGGGAGAAAACCUCUGACAAGAGUCCUGAGGUCAGCUUGCAGUCUGGGGACCGAUCUUCUCCUCUACCAUCUCGGGAUCAAGUGGACUACCUGAGCCCGUAUCAGAAGGAUUACAAAAAGGCGGUGGGGCCCAAGAUGGUGAAGGACAUCGAGAGUAUGAAUCUCUCCGAAUUAGCUGCUUCUGUUCAGAGAGUGUCCUUCAAGCUGGCCACUAUGGUUUCGUGCUACAAGAUUGGGACUGCGCGCCAUGAGAAGAAGCUCCAAGCUGACAAUCAGGAAUUGAAGAAGAAAGCUGACUCUGCUGACCGCUCCAAGGAGAAACUGGCUGAGCUGAACAAGCAGAUUGCGGAGCUAGAGGAGAAGGUUGCGGUUGCUGAAUCCACUUCCUCCAAACUCGAGGGCGAGUUGGGUGACUUGAGAUCUGAUCUUCAGGCUACUCAAACAGAAAGGGAUACUUUGAGGGUCGCCCUUGAGGAGGAAAUCAAAUCCUUGGGUGAGCAGCUGGCCGAGGAGAAAGGCAAAUCCGCUGAUGUGGAUGAUCGGGUUGAUGCCGAGUAUGAUUCUGGGGUUGGCUUCUCCUACAAGUGCAUCAUGUCUGUGCUUAAGACAGAAUAUCCCGAGAUGGACAUGAGCAAACUGGAGGCCGGAGUACAGCGGUAUAUGGCGCAGGUCGACCAAGCAGAUAAGGAGCAGGGUGAGCAGGAGCAGGUGGAGGCCCCUUUGGAUGGGGGGCAAGAGGGGGAAGCUGGGGGACGCACUUUCGAAAUGGGUCAAGGGUCCAUGCCUCCUCCUUCCGGCAUUGCUGAUCUCCCACCUCCUGAUGUUGCUGAUCCCUUACUUCCCGGGCUCGCUGAUCCUUCAGCUGCUGGAGCCGCUGACUCUGCUAAGCUUUGAGUCUAUUUUUUGUAUAAACUCUAGAUUUGCAUUUGUUUUGUAAACGACUGAACAUUUAUAAAAUUUCUGGAAUGUUCUCCCUUGGCUUUCUUAUCUGGUAUUGCUUGUGAUUCUUUAGUGCAUCGAACUGGAAUAGGCAUCCGUUUGCCUUAGUAAAGUUUUCGCAGAUUUAGCUGCUGGUCUCUCGUUGACCGAACAGAAACAGACCCUUACUUGCCUUAGUGCAAAUUUGGAGAAAUUAGCUGCUGGUCUUCGCUGACCGAGCAGAAGUAGGCACUUUCUUGCCUUAGUAGAUUAGCUGCUGGUCUUUCGUUUGACCGAGCAGAGGCAGGCACUUUCUUGCCUUGGUAAAAUCUUCGUAAAUUUAGCUGCUGAUCGUUCGUGGACCGAGCAGAAGUAGGCACUUGCCUUAGGAGAGUGUUCGUAGCUUUAGCUGCUGGUCAUUCGUUGACCGAGCAGAAAUAGGCACUCUGUUGCCUUAGUAGAUUAGCUGCUGGUCUUUCGUUUGACCGAGCAGAGCUGAAUUCCUCUUUAUUGAAAUUUGAAUGCGUUACAAAAGUACAAAACAUAUGCAUGUGCACCAAACCAUCAUGCAUUUGAUCAAUAUAACUUAUCAAAUUGAAGAUUUAGUAGAGUAUUUUGCUUACUGGAAAUACUUCUUCAAAUGCUCGGCGUUCCAUGACCUCUUCACGUCUCGUCCAUCUCGGUAUGCUAACUUAUAAGCUCCCGGACCAGUUGCUCGUAUCACCCUGUACGGGCCUUCCCAUUUCGGACCAAGAGCUCCAUGGUUAGGAUUCCUGGUGUUCUGGUUCACUUUCCUAAGUACCCAAUCUCCUGCUCGGAACUGCCUCACGCGUACAUUCUUGUUGUAAUAACGCAUGACCCUUUGCUGACAUUGGGCCACUUUCUUCGAGGCCCCUUCCCUUUUCUCUUCCAGCAGGUCUAGGCUUAGGCAGAUCUGCUCGUCAUUUUGCUCCUCAGCGAAAUGUUCCGUUCGAUGUGUCCCCACUCCAAUCUCUGCUGGGAUUACCGCCUCAUGACCAAAGGCUAAAGCGAACGGUGUUUCUCCUGUGGCGGUUUUGUGAGUUGUCCUGUAGGCCCACAGUACCCCUGGAAGCUCGUCAACCCAAGCUCCCUUCUUCUCUCCCAAUCUAGUCUUCAGGAGCUUCUUUAUCACCUUGUUGGCUGCUUCCACUUGUCCGUUUGCCUGGGGGUGUGCGGGGGUGCAGAACUUCAGGUCCACCCCCAGGUUUCGGCAAAACUCUCUGAAGUUGCCGUUGUCAAACUGCCUCCCAUUGUCUGUGAUGAUGGCAUAGGGGAUCCCAUAUCUGCAGAUGAUAUUUUUCCAAAUAAAAUCUGUUGUCUUCCUCUCUGUGAUCUGGCUGAGGACUCCCACUUCCACCCACUUGGUGAAGUAGUCUAUUGCCACAAUUGCAUGUGUCGCCGCUCCUCGUUCCUUAGGUAACGGACCAAUCAAGUCGAUUCCCCAUUGAGCGAAAGGCCAUGGGGAUGUCAUAGCCGUCAGCUUUUCCGGGGGUUGUGUAGGAACCUCGGAGAAGCUUUGGCAUGUUUUACAAUUCUUUGCCAUCCUCUUGGCAUCCUGGUGCAUGGUUGGCCAGAAAUAUCCUUGCCGGAGUGCCUUGAAGGCUAAAGUUCUUGCUCCCGAGUGAUUGCCGCAUAUUCCCUCAUGAAUCUCUCUCAGCACAUAAUCCGCCUCCUCAUCAUCCAAACAUCUCAACAGGGGCAAGGUGAACCCUCGGCGGUACAACACCCCAUCCAGUAGCGUAUACCUUGCUGCUCGGCAUUUCAGUUUUCUUGCUUGUCUCUUAUCCUCUGGUAAAACUCCAUCGCGGACAUACGCGCAAAUCGGGUCCAUCCAGGAUUCUCCAAUACUUACUCUCAUCACCUCUGCAUCUUCCUCAAUACUUGGUGAGGUCCUUAUCUCUAGUGGAACUGACUUCGGUAAUUUUGGAUCUGCAAUAGCAGCCAUCCUAGCCAACAUAUCUGCUCGGUAAUUCUCAUUCCGGGAUAUCUGCUUUACUUCCACCUCUUGGAAAAACCCAACCAUCUGCUUUGCCUUCUUCAAAUAAAGUCCCAAUUUCUCUUCCCUUACUUGGAACUGAUCAGUGAGCUGGUUACAUACUAGCUGGGAGUCUGCUCGGAUUUCUACCCUUUUCUGCUCGCAGCGCAUGUGCAAGACCGAGCCCAGUAAUGAAGGCCUCAUAUUCAGCUUGGUUGUUCGUAAGCUGGAACUCGAACUUCACCGCAUAGGAUGCCUCAACACCUUCUGGGCUUCGUAUUAUAACUCCUGCCCCGGAUCCCUGUUCACUACGCGAUCCAUCAACCAUUACCAGCCAUACCCCCUUUGAAUCCUCAUGUUCAGCUGAUUGUUCCUCGUGAACCUCUUCCCCUGGUUCAGCACGAUCAAUCAUAAAAUCUACCAGGGCUUGAGCCUUGAUUGCUCCUCGGGGCCUGUAGGACAAGUCGAACUCACUUAGCUCCACGGACCAUUUUACUAGUCGACCAGACACAUCUGGUUUUUGAAGCACCUGCCGAAGGGGCUGGUCAGUCAUCACAAUGAUCUGGUGGGCUUGGAAAUAUGGUCGGAGUUUGCGUGCUGCCGUUAUCAGGGCGAGCGCCCACUUCUCCAUUAGUGGAUAUCUGGUUUCUGCGUCUACCAGGGCCUUGCUUGUGUAGUAUACUGGGUGUUGCUUUCCUUUUUCUUCCCUGACUAAGACCGAGCGGGUAGCCCACUUAGAGAUUGCCAAGUACAAAAGCAGCUGGUCACCCUCUCUGGGAGUUGAUAGUAACGGGGCGCGGGCUAGGUAUUCCUUCAACUGUCCAAAUGCCUCCUCGCAUUCUGGUGUCCAUUCCAUCUUCCUCCAUUUCUUUAUGAUUUGGAAGAAAGGGUGGCACUUAUCAGUGGCUCGCGAAAUGAAUCGGUUUAAUGCUGCCAAUUUCCCCGUAAGGCUCUGCACCUCCUUAACUGUUCUUGGGGACCGCAUUUCUAUCACCGCCCGUAUCUUUUCCGGGUUGGCCUCAAUCCCUCGAUGGCUCACCAGGUACCCCAAAAAUUUGCCCGAGCUGACCCCAAAUGCACAUUUCUCCGGGUUCAGCUUCAUUUCGUACUUCCUCAGCAAAUCAAAGGUCUAUUCCAAGUGCUUCACAUGAUCUCUCGGUUCUCUUGACUUGGUGAUCAUAUCGUCCACAUAUACUUUCAUAGUGUGGCCGAUCAAUGGUUUGAAGACCUUGUUCACUAACCUUUGAUAGGUAGCUCCAGCAUUUUUCAGGCCAAAGGGCAUCACCCUGUAACAAAACAAACCCAUGUUAGUUAUAAAGGUCGUGCUUUCCUCAUCCUGCUCGUUCAUGGGUAUCUGGUUGUAUCCGGAGAAGGCAUCCAUGAAACUGAGCAGACUAUGACCCGCGGUUGAGUCCACCAACUGGUCUAUUUUUGGUAGUGGAAAGCUGUCCUUCGGGCAUGCCUUAUUGAGGUCCGUGAAGUCUACACACAUUCUCCACUUCCCAUUGGCCUUCUUUACCAGCACUACAUUGGAAAUCCACUCCGGGUACUUGGCUUCCCUUAUAAACCCUGCUUUUAGCAGUUUUUCCACCUCGGUAUUUAUGGCUUCGUACCUCUCAUGGUUGAAGCACCUCCUUUUUUGCCUCACCGGCCUUGCCCCUUUCUUGAUUGCCAGCUUGUGGCAUGCUACCCUGCGAUCAAUACCUGGCAUAUCCUCAUGAGACCAGGCAAAUAUGUCUGCAUGGGACUGUAGACAUUUCACCAGCUCGCCUUUUAUUGGUUCGCCCAAUUCUGUUCCGACCUUAACCACUCUGCUAGGGUCACUCCUGCUUACAACAACUUCUUCCAGCUUCUCAACAGGUUCCUGGCGACCGUUUUUUGAAUCCCCUCGGUUAUCUAGAGACGUAACCUGCAGUGUUUCCUUGGCCGCUGUAGCAUAGCAGCUCCUGGCCAUUCUCUGGUCGCCCUUCACGACACCCACAACUCCAUUUAUUCUGUAUUUCAGUGCCAGGUAAUGCGUGGACAUUACACAUUGGCUUAUCCUCAUGAACGGUCUACCCAAUAUCAUCUGGUAAGGGCUCCUCUCCUCUACCACUACAAAGUCCAGCAUCAUUGUUCUUUCAAAUGGCUUUGUCCCCACAGUAAUCGGGAGUUCAAUGACCCCCAUGGGAGUUAACCGUCCCCCUCCAAAUCCCUUCAAGGAUGUAUUCGUUCGCUCCAGCUUUAAGUCUGAAAUCCCCAUAUCAUCUAGGGCGGACUUAAACAGAAUGUCUACUGAGCUGCCCGUGUCUACCAAUAUUCGCCGCAAUUCUGUGCUGGCCACCAAUGCUCUAAUCACCAGUGCAUCCUCGUGAGGGUACAAAAUGCCCUCUUCGUCGUCCUCUGUCCACAUAAUAGGGACUUGCCGCACUUUUGCCCUCUUGGCUGCUGGCAAAUUGAGAAGCACUUCCUUGCCAGUCAUGGCAUAUCUCCCAUAGUUUUUGCGUGCUCUGUUUGAAUCCCCGGCCAAUGUUGGCCCUCCUGCUAUCACCCGGAUAGUCGGCUGUUCUCGUUCUAAACCCCUUUCAACUCCUACAUCCUGUGCAUAUUGCGGCUCACUGACGGGGGACACUCCAUCUACGUACUCACCCAAGUACUGGUUUCUCACCAAAUCCUCCACCUGAAUCCUUAGGUCACGGCAUUGGUUGAUAGUAUGACCAUGAGUGUUGUGGAAUUUGCAGAACCUGCUCUUAUCACGCCGGUGAGCGGGUUUUGUUAUAGGGGCCGGAGGGUACAAUAGGCCUCGUCCCUCGAUCCUCUCAUAUAAUUCCUCCAUGGAAAUCUUUAAUUGCGUGUACUGUCUAUAUGCCGAGCUCUGGUCUACUAGCUAAACUGUUCGGCUAUCAUGAAUGUCACCUCGGGUUGGUAUAGCGGAUGGCUGCUCUGGUCGUCCCGACCUGUAAUUAGGUGCACUUAAACUUCUGGGAGUGCUGUGAUAAGGGUGGGCGGCCAUCUACCUGAAUUCUCGCUGCCGCUCUGGGAUCGGAGGGCGCGGAGGUUGGGCCCGGCUGUGUUGGAACUGUUGUGCUCUCGGAGCUAUGGGGUAAGGGCGGGUCCGAACUGAAAUUCCACCCAUCCCUGAAGAUUCUCCAGCUCGCUUUCCCGACCCGCUCCCUUUCGGGGCUCUCCGUUCCUUUUGCCUCAGCUCUUCCAGCUGUUCACUUUUAAUUCUAGCUGAUUUCUCCUCUUCGAUUUCAAUAUCUCGUCUCGCCUGCUCAUACCCUGACGAGUAAUUCUGUACGAGGGGGCUCCUUAGGUUAUACCACAAUCGGCCGAUUCUUACACCUUCUUUUAAUCCCCUCAACGCCUGCGGGUGAUUAAAAGCUCCCAAAUCCAGCACGGCUCGGUGAUAUCGUUUCACAAAGUCUCGCAGGGAUUCAUGAUCCUCCUGUUUCAUCCCCAUCAGUUCCAUCAUGUCGUCCUCCGGGGCCACUGCCCCUCGGAACUGCUCGGCCAACUCCUGGCACAUCUGCUCAUACCCUUUUAUUCCUCCUCGGGGCAGCUUGCGGUACCAUUCUCGGGCUCGUCCCUCUAGUGUCAACGGGAACACCCUGCACCUCUGAGCUGGUGUCAACCCCUGCACACCCGUCAUGUCGUUGAAACGCUCAAUGUGCACCAACGGGUCACUUCGCCCGGAGUAUUUGAGGUCGGGGAAGCGGAAAUCUCUUGGAAUUAUGGUACUCAUGAUCUCAGUUGAUAACGGAGAUUCGUCAUCUAGCAUUAUCCUCCAGCUCGGGGGCUUUCUCUUUCCCUGCAUCUCCUCUAUCACCUGCGCCAAUCUGCGCACCUCCCCCUCCAAUUCUAUGGCACGAUUAGGGUCACGUGCAGCUACCUGGUCUCGCUCCUGCUCGACGUUCUGCAACCGCUGUCUGAGCUCUCCUUCAUCGACACUUGCCCCUCGGUCAUUUAUUUCCAGUAUCCGUCCGGGGCGAGGUUGAUCUCUCCCUUCAUCCACGUGCUCCCCUAGGACCCGACCAGUACUUCGGUGGGGAUGCACCCCGUUAGGUUGGUCUGCGGGCGGAGGGAUCUCCCCGACUCUACGCCCCUGGAGGCUGGGUUCAGCUCCAACUCCAUCUCUUCCCUCGGGGGUUUCACAAUCCCUUCUCCGCUCGUCCCUCAGCUCAAACAAUACGGCCGCGAGAGUCUCCAUUUGUUUCUCCAUUCGCUCCAGUCUAUCUUGCAUCAUCCUCUCUCGGGCUUCAUUUGCAAUCUCCCGGAGAGUGAUUGUCUCCACCGUUUCAUUGUCCUCCCUUAAAGUAUCCUUUCUUGACACAUCCAUAUCCAAUCGCUUGCUGCUUCUCCGAUAAUUACUAAGUUGGUGGUAGCUUUUUAUUCAGCUCCCCACAGACGGCGCCAAAAUGUUGAUGCCAAAAUAUGCUCGUCCGUGGACCGACCAGAUUCGCUCACCAACGUUUAAGUUCUCGACUGCUGCUUGAACCGCUAAGGCUGCAAUUAACCUUCUCUCUCUCUCACUAGACCUGCGUACACCAAAAACGGAUCAGAGACGCCGGUGGUUUUGCCGGCGUAAACCCUCUGAUGCCUAAGUUAGCACAAGGUGUUUACGGGAAAGCGAUUAAAUUUGGAUUUACGAAUGGUUCGAGAUUUGCUCAAAGUUUAUAGGAAAAUGGCCUGGUUGCAAUUUGGCAGCGUUUUCCCUCUCUCAGUUUUUCUGUCCCUUCUUCAUCGAUUUCUUCUCAUUUUAUAGCCGUUGCCCCCACGUUUUCGUUUGCCCUUCAUCCCACCUUUUUCGGGUAGUGGCAAACCCUCAUGGGACUCUAACUGUUACAUUGUGGGCAAACGUGGAUCUCGCGUGUCCUUCGACGGUUCUGGAAAAGCGUAACUACUGUGAUUUCGUGGGAUCGUGUUCCCGCUUUUCCGGGGAUGAAUGUCGGCUCGGUAUAUACCUCUGGUCGGUAUGUUUCCUUGGUUGUAUCCAUCUCUGGUCCGCUCAUGCUCGCCCCCGUGUUCUGCUCAUAUCAUUUUGGCUGAAGCAAUCCGUGCCGGGGCGAGAAUAGUAGCAUGGUCGACCUGGUGCCGACCUGGUGCUCUUAUGUACUCAACAAUAAUAUUUGCUCCACGAUUUCUUUCCACCGAUUGUCCAUCGACCCGUAUCAAGCAAGGAUGUGUUGUUGUAUUUGGAAUAUGCAGCUCACUUUUCAGAUCCAGCCUUUGGAAUUGCCAAGUUUAUGAAGACAGACUCGAGCAAUUGGACUGUAUGCGCAACCACGUAUGGAUUUGUCAUUGUUGCUCCACGUAUGUAAUAUUCUUUUGAUUCCAUUUUGAGGAAUAUCAUUAUGUAACACAUUCCGUUGACUUAUGAAACAGAGUAAACCAUGUUUCUUUCUUCUUCUUUUUUUCAGUUGACUUUGCGGAGCUUGCCUACACAAUGAAGAUCACAGAACAACCCAACGUGUACAGUUUCGGAGUGCUACACUGGAAGUGAUCAAGGGGAUCCAAGAGGUUUUCUUUCCUCAGUUUCGUCUUCAUCUUCCAACAUGAACAUGCACGAGUAGCUGCUCUGCUAUAUCUAUUGAUUUUUGCUAGACUAGUCAUUAUUAUUUGAGUUUUAAAUAUUUGCCUUCAUUACUCAUUGUUGCACAAGCUAAUCGUACACAUCAUGCUAUGUAGGUCUCAAUUCGGAACAAAAGAAUGUUAGUUGAAGACACACAACACAAAAUAUAAAAAAUUAGUUCGCAGAUGGCCACAAAAGACUAGCUACAUUUCUGUCCAAAAAAAAAGAAAGAAAAGAAAUAAGAAAUAAUCUGUUUGUACGGCCUCUGUAAACCAACUGCUUCCAUGCCCCAAUUUCGAAACUAUCAUUGAUAUAGAGCCAUUAGUUCCAUCUCUCGCCUAAAGCUUCGGGAGAUAUGGUCAAAAAUCUCCUUAUCGCCAUAGUUUUGCUACAAAAGCCAAUAGAAUUAAUGAUCCUUAUAAAUUAUGAAUUACAUCCUAAUCUACUUGCAUUAUUUUGGAUUAAAAAAAUCUUGCUUUGAUCAUCAUUCCGAUUGGAAAUAUCAAACUCUAAGGCUUGUCAUUAAUUGGGACAAAAUUUUAAUUACAUCUCAACUUCGUAAAUAGAAGUACUUAUCAUUGAAAUAUAAUUAAAGUAGCAAGAGGCCAUUUGAAGUGUAAAAGGAAAAGGAGAGAGAAGGGUAGCUAUAGAUGGAUAAGAUAUGUGUCAGAACGAGUCAACAUUUGAUAAAACCUUUUGGGAUUGUAUCUAACAACAUUUUUUUUUCUCGGUUGGAUCUCAGUGUUUAUACAAAAGCAAAGAUUUGGAUGACUAAAAUUUGACGCUAUACUUAUAAAGUAGAGAUAUAGAGUUUAUCACCAGUGUAAUAUAUACAUGGUCUUAAUUUACACAAUUCACCAUGUGACAGUGAGAUGAUGAUAAGGUAAAUUAUCAAUUAAAAACAUGACAGUUUGUACUAAUGUUAGAUCAUAUGAUAUGCUUAUUGAGUUAAUGGUCAUGUUCGGUCCAAUUGAAUAAGUCUAAAGUAGUAGUAAAGUUGAAUAAGUCUAAGUUAGUUGAGAUAUUAUCAACUUAGUUUGUCAAUUAAGUAUCCAGUUCUUGAUUUGUUGAGAUUAUUUUGUUUCAUUCCUGUUUCUGUUUUGUCUGGCUUGUAUAAAUAAGCCAUUGUUGAAUAAUGAAGGCAUGAAUCAUUUUAUCAAAGAAAUACUUGUGUUACAUCUUGGAGGGAUUGGCUUCCUCGAAUCAGCCAACUGUUAACGUUACCAAGUGUAAGGGCAAGAUAGGAAGAGACAAGCAGAAUAAAAAUAGCUUGCCUGUUCCAUCACAUGUGGUGAGCACAUGUGAGGAGAUGGAAUGGGGCAUAUGUAUGUUGAAGAGUUUCGUAACCAAAAUUUUUGGGCUAAAAAACGACUGACUUUUUCAUUUUUACUUGAUUAAAACCGCGAUAAACGAGAAGAACUUUUAGCGGGGGACAAAAUGAGUUUUACGGCUCAUUCAAUACAAGAAACUAAAAUAUUGAAAAGCUUCACGCAGGAAGCAGGAAAAGUAAGGAACCAAAAGUUAACAGAAACAAUCGUCUGAAAAGCCAUUAGCAUCUCUAGAAAGAAAAGGCAAAGCUUCUACGAGAGGCGAAGACCACAAGUGAAAGAAAAGGUAAAGCAUCUGCAAGAGGUGAUAUUAGCUCAUUUUCGACAAAAUAUAAUGACAAUUAAGCUAAAUAAUUACGAAUAAUCCAAAGGGGUUGGAGACUAAAAUUGAAGGUGAACUGCCAUUGAAGGGUCAGAAUCAAUCACUAAAACAAGUGCCAUAACCUCAGCAUAGUAAUAAUUAAAAAAUAAUUUCUUGCGCAUGUACAAAGAGGUGAACCACUCGAAUGUAAACUUGAAAAGUGUUCACAACUGGAUUAAAUAAUGGACAAUUCAUAGUUAUUGUUAAUGUUAAAAGAAAGGAAUAGAUUGGGAAAAAAAAAUUAAGGAUAAUUUACAAUUAAUGCAGUCCUUGUGGUUUAAGGAAAAAUCAAGUAAGCCAGAAAUCAUUAGUACUAUUUUUCAAAUAAGUCCUCUGACCGUGUUUGACCAUUCACCGUACUGCAAAGUAAGCGAAAAUAUCUACUUCUUAGCAGCCCACUUUUAUGAUGCGAUUAAUUUCAACCAUUCGCUGAUUCGCGUGCUGGUAGUUAGGCAAGUUCAUUUGUUGGCUGGAGAAAUUUGAUAUUUUUGGUACCAAAUUUAUACAUAUGUGUGCGUGUGCGUGUGUGUGUGUUUCCUUUAAUUUGUGAAUUUGGUAUUACUUCUCAUCAGGUGUGCGAAACAGAAACAACGGCAUUUAUUACAUAAAUAUUUCUAAUUUGCAGUAUGGAAAGCUUGGAGAUGUUAAAUCUCUCCCAAAAUAACCUGUCAGGUUCAAUUCUAAGUAAUUUUGAAGAAAUGCAUGGCUUGUCAUUGGUUGGUGCAUCUCCUACAUUGAAUUACAGGGCCCAAUUCCAGUUGACAGAUACACAGCCAGAAAAUAAAUAAACUCCGUACGGACAAACUUGACACUCCCGCGGCCAGAUAUGUUCCAAAAUCUACUUAUAGCCAUAAUUUUGAUACAAAAGCCAAUGGAAUUAUUGCCCCUUAUAAAUUAUGAAUUACAUCCUAAUCUAGUUGCUUAAUUUUGGAUAGAAAAUCUUGCUUUGAUCAUUAUACCGCUUAGAAAUAUCAAAUUCCAAGGCUCGUCAUUAAUUGGGAUAAAAUUUUAUAUCUCAGCUUUCUAAAUAAUUUACUUAUCAUUCAAAUAUAAAGUGGCCAGAGGACAUGCCGAGCGUCAAAAUGAAAGGAGAGAGGAGUAGUAGAUAAGAUACGGGUUAGAAGGAGUCAAAAUUUGAUAAACUUUUUUGGAUUGUAUCUCACAAGUCACAACUUUUUUUCCUUUUCUCCUGUUUGGAUCUCAGUGUUUAUAUAAAGCAAAGAUUCAAGGCCCACGUGUCCAUAAGAUGAGCGAUGGUGUCUACCAGAUUAGUUCUCUGGAGUUUAGAUCACCGGGGUAACACAGACAUUGACUCCUUCACUUCUCAAUUGCUCUUUUGCUUCCGCUGUAAUUGUUUUCUGCAACGUCGUUAAAUUAUAUAUGAGUGUUUGAUAACCUUUUCAAUUUCAAUCAACUUUUGUAUUACCUUAAUUAUUUUGUUUCCUUUCUGCGUAAUUGAUCUUGUGUUUUUAUAAUAUCAAUGGUGUCACGAACCUUGAAUAGAGUAUCUUUUACUGUUUUGUUGAUUCUAUUUUAUACGUGUUUGUAUUAGAAUUUUUACUUAUCAUUGAAAAACCCGGGGAUGAAAUCUAACACGUACUAAUUAAUUAAAUUUAUUUCAUAAUAAUAAACUAAAUUAAUUUUUUUUAAUANNNNNNNNNNNNNNNNNNNNNNNNNNNNNNNNNNNNNNNNNNNNNNNNNNNNNNNNNNNNNNNNNNNNNNNNNNNNNNNNNNNNNNNNNNNNNNNNNNNNNNNNNNNNNNNNNNNNNNNNNNNNNNNNNNNNNNNNNNNNNNNNNNNNNNNNNNNNNNNNNNNNNNNNNNNNNNNNNNNNNNNNNNNNNNNNNNNNNNNNNNNNNNNNNNNNNNNNNNNNNNNNNNNNNNNNNNNNNNNNNNNNNNNNNNNNNNNNNNNNNNNNNNNNNNNNNNNNNNNNNNNNNNNNNNNNNNNNNNNNNNNNNNNNNNNNNNNNNNNNNNNNNNNNNNNNNNNNNNNNNNNNNNNNNNNNNNNNNNNNNNNNNNNNNNNNNNNNNNNNNNNNNNNNNNNNNNNNNNNNNNNNNNNNNNNNNNNNNNNNNNNNNNNNNNNNNNNNNNNNNNNNNNNNNNNNNNNNNNNNNNNNNNNNNNNNNNNNNNNNNNNNNNNNNNNNNNNNNNNNNNNNNNNNNNNNNNNNNNNNNNNNNNNNNNNNNNNNNNNNNNNNNNNNNNNNNNNNNNNNNNNNNNNNNNNNNNNNNNNNNNNNNNNNNNNNNNNNNNNNNNNNNNNNNNNNNNNNNNNNNNNNNNNNNNNNNNNNNNNNNNNNNNNNNNNNNNNNNNNNNNNNNNNNNNNNNNNNNNNNNNNNNNNNNNNNNNNNNNNNNNNNNNNNNNNNNNNNNNNNACAUAUCUAUUGGAACCGUACCUCCAACAGGAUAAGUUGGGAAAAGCAAUCAAUAAUUUAACUAAUUAAUUAAAAUUAUUAAAAAAAAAAGGUUGAGGGUGGGACAAAAUCAAAAUUAUUUUUUAUCCUUUACCUCCCCAUGAUACUAUUCAGUCAGGGCCUAGAGACAAAUUAAAUUAAUUAUUACUAAGAUAACAAUAUUAUAGGUAAAACAACUUAUUCUAAUUGAAUUAUUUAAUGAUACAUAUAUUACAUAAAUUAAAAAAUUAUAGAAAUUUUUAUUUAUAUUUAAUUAACUUCCAUUUACAUUGAUUCAAAUAAUAAGCAGUACCAAAUUUUUUUUUGUUAAUAAUAUAAAAUAUGUUAUUGGCAAUAAUAAAAGAAUGUAUUACAAAUAAUAAUACAUUUAAAUAUCUUGUAAUUUAGAUGUAUAUUUUUAUUAUUUAUUUCAUGUGGGAAUCCUCCUUGUUUUUCAGCAUCAAGUUCGUUUGAUUUAUUUAGUCUCAUGUAGCAGUGGUUGAUAAUUGUGUAGGUUAUUACGACUUCCAUACUAGGUGAUCUCUUCCUUUUAAAAUGUAGUUCUUGUUGUAAUAACUAAUGAUUAGUAUUUUCCAGAUAAGUUCUCUGACCGUUUUUAAUCAUUAACUAACAAUUCAUAUUUUUAACGUUUAUUAAGAAUUUUAGGUUUGUCUAUAAAUAAAUGAAAGGAAUUAAUAACAAAUUUAGUGAAGGAUGAACAAUUUUGGUAGAGUUAGGAUGUAAACGAAAAUAUAAACAAUUAAUUGUGGCAUUAAGUAUGAGAAAAACUCAAUCUAGACUACUCAUAUUUUGAUAUAUCAUUUGCCAUUAGAUCUUUAAAAGUCUAAUAAACUUAGGGUUACAAAUCCUUUUUUUUUCUAUCGUGCUCGAGUUCUACAGGACAUUGGAGAAGUCCUAGAAAAUUGAUCAAGGCAACCUGGCUACAAUUGAUAGAAAGGAAACGUUUAAAGUGGCUUGAUUAAUUUACAAGAACCCGGUUCGCGAGUCCAUGGUUUCUCUAGGAAGCCUCAGUCGGCUUAAGGUACCACAAUUCAUAGAAGCAUAAAAAAUAGCUUGAUGUAACAAAGAUUUGUGCGUUCUUUUAAAUUCAGCAUUUGAGUUCGUUAUGAUGAAGUUUCUGAGUUUCUUAAUCACCUAGAUAACAUCCUUUAUUGGCGGAGUCAAGUAUAAAAGGUGCUGAUGGGCAGGUGUGUCAAAGCAGAGUGAUUUGUGAUUAUCACACCAGUGAUCUUUACUAGCUCGGAGUGAAAAGAUCAUCCUUGUAAUCUUGUUAAUACUCUCUAUAUAUAACUUUACUCUCUUCUGAAAUCGAUUAAUCAAAUUUGUCUUUCACCUUGCACAGCUUGCUUAAACAUACUGAAUAUUUGCCUUCCUUUUUCCUUCAGGGUAGUUACUAAAAGUUUUAUAGUCUUGAGCAUGAUUUUAUUGUCAAAGUAUAAAUUUAUUCUUUGCUUUUUACGCUUAAUUCUGCAUGACUUUCUCUCAAAUAAGCAAAUUAAUUUGCAAAUUAUGCUCAAAGUGUUGUAUCCAUUUUUUUAAUGUUAAUUAUAAGCAUUCCCUCUAAAUGAAUAUGAUCAAAUUGUUACAUGGUCCAAAUUAGAAUUACGGUCACAAUGUUAGUAUACCGGAAAUUUGGCUAGGAUCGAGAAAUUAAACUUAGUUUUGUUUGUUAAGUUGGUUGAUAUGAAUAUGAAAAGACAUUGUAAUUCAACUUCUAAAGUCUCUUUAAUUUGUCUCGAACAUUUUGAUAACUUAAACAAAGUAUGUACAUUUGAUGACAAAAAAAGAAGGGUAUUGGAAAAGCCAACCCCAAAAUAUUUAGUCUUUCCGCUCUUUCUCUGGCAUAAUGUUCGGGGAGACAAAAUGCCCAGCAAACAAGUUAAUUUGAUCCGUUAGGAUCGAAAGAAACGUUAAUUAGUCAAUUCGUCCAUUAAUCUUGGUCACAAAUGUUUAUUCUAUGUUCUGGGACGACUUAUGGACUUUAAUUGUAGUUCGAAGGAGAAUAGCUAUCAAUACAAAGAUUUUUUUAACAGAACCGCAUGCAACAAGUGAACCUUUUGUUUGGAUAAUUUUAACAUCGUAGAUGUCUUUGAAAAUUUUUUCCUUAAGCAAUGGGGGAAAACUCUUCCCUACUUGAUCAGGCUUUGACUCAUACGCCUCUCAAAUGGUUGUUUAGAAAAAGCUUGUGGGCACGAUCCCCAUACCCCUAGAAACACUCCACCCCUUCAAAAUACAAAAGGUAUAUGAGGAGGAAACGAUAGGAGAGCAAGGAAAAAAAUAAUAAUAAUUCAAAACAAAGUCGAUACCUUUACAACAGUUCUACAUCUUUGCUAACUUAAGCAUCGCAGUGGAAUUCGGAAAUCUCAUUUUCCAAUUGUCCCAUUUCACAUUUUGGUUUAUUAUGUGUGCAAAUGACUUCCAUCUACCGCACUUGGUUCAGUUCACAUAGAAAAGAAAUAAGUAUUAACAAUCACAUAUAUUUUUUUAUUAUAUUUCCGAUAUGCUUUUCAUGUCCUUGCAUUAUAUAAAUAAAUAAAAAAAGAGAGAAAGAGAGAGAGAAUUGAAGAAUCUUCCCGGAAAAACAUUGAGCAUUAGAUCCUCACUGUCAGCCAUCAAUGAUAAUGGAGGUUCUUAUGUUGAGUUUUAUUACAGUCUCUGAUCAUACAUAUAAAGCAUUUAGUGACAGAAUAAAUUUAAAGAGUUAGACUGUAAUUUUUUAUAAAAAUUAAUUCGGUUCUCUUUUUGGUGGUGCAAGGAUCAUUGACAAUAACUUAUCUUGGGACCAUAACUUUUUAUCCUGAGCCCACACUCUUACAAUGUAAAAUCAAUAAUUUUUUAUAUCAUGAGUGACAUAGAACUUGUUUCCCAACUUUUUACUUAUAUUAUUAAUUUAAAGAGAACUUUACAUGAAGUGAUUUAAUUUAUAUAAAACUGAGCUAACUUACUGUUUUUUUUUUCGGGCUAAAAUUUUUAAGUAAUGACGUCUGAACUAACGAAAAUUUUCACUUACAUAUUCGAGUUCCAACAUAGUAUGCCAGUGAUAAACACAAAAAAAUUGAAAAAAAAAUAAAACGUCAUCUUACUGUUUAUUUGAUGGAAACCAAAUGUUCAAAGUGACUUGAUUUACAAGAACCCGAUCGGCGAGCCCAUGCUUUGCCUAGGUAGCCUCAGUAGCCAUGCGUUGUAAUAAUUAAUAUAAGCAUCAAAAAGAAAAUUUGUUUUGAUGUAAUAAAGAUUUGUACUUACUAAAUUCAGCAUUUCAGUUCGUUAUGAUGAAGUUUCUGAGUUUCGUAAUCAAGUAAAAUAGCAUCCUUUAUUAGCUGAGUCAAGUAUAAAAUUAAGGUGCUGAUGGGCAGAGUGAUUUGAGAUCAUCACACCAGUGAUCUUUGCUAGCUCUGAGUGCAAGAUAAUGUUUGUAAUCUUGUUAAUACUCUGUAUAAAUAAUACUCUCUUCCGAAAUCCGUUGAUCAUAUUUGUCUUUCACCUUGCAGAACUUGCUCACACAAUGAAGAUUACUGCAUAUUUGUCAUUUCUUUUUUCCAAGGAAAUUAUUAUGACAGUAUUGAGAUUUGAAAUGAUUGUUUGCAAAUUUUAUAGUUUAAAAUUAAGCAUGGAUUUAUUACCAAAGUAUGUUUAUUCUUUGCUCUAUGCUUAAUUCAUCAUUACUUGAUUACAGAUAAGUAAAUUAAUUUGAAAAUUAAGCUCGAAGUGUUAUAUGCAUUCUUCCAAUAUUAAUUACAAGCAUUCAAUAUGAUGAAACUGUUACAAGGUGCAAAUCAAAAUUAUGGUAACAAUGUUAGUAAAUAGGAAAGCUAGCUAGUCCCGACAAAUUCAAUACAGUCUCGUCUAUUAAAUUGGUCGAUACGAAGGUGAAUAGAAAUUAUAAUUCAACAUUUAAAGUCUCUCUGUCUCACUCAUUUUAAUAUCUUAAUCAAUGCACAUUAAUUUGAUGACAAAAAAGAAGGGUAUGGAUAAGCCAACCCCAAAAUAUUUAGAAUUUCCAUCCUCUCUCUGGCGUAAUUUUCGGGGAAGCAAAUGCCCAGUGAACAAAAGUUUGAUCAAUCAAUGAUUGGAUCCAAAGAUACGUAAAUUAGUCAAGUCUUUCCAUUAAUUUUGAUCACAAAUGUUUAUCCUAUUUUGUGGGACGACUUGCCAUGGACUUUAAUUGUAGUUGGAAGGGGAGUGGCUAUCAAUACAAAGAUUAUUUUGACAGAAUUGCUUGCAACAAGUGAACGUUUUGUUUGGGUAAUUUUAAAAUUGUAGAUGUCUUUUAAGACUUUUGCCUUAAGCAAUUGGGAAAACUCUUCCCUACUUGAUCAAGCAUCGACUCAUACACCUCUCAAUUGCUAGUCUAGAUUCUAUAUAAUUUUGGCUCGUGUGGAAAAAGCUACUCGUGGAUUCCUCCUAAUAACUCCAAUGAUUUUUCCUGAAAUUAAAACCAUAAUCUUUAGCCUUUAACCAUUUAGACUUUGGGCACGGACGAACAUUGUGUUAUGUAGUUCAUAGUCGAAGUGAAAACGGUCUAUAUUUUAGCCAAUAUUCGGUACAUAAAAACAUACUUUGAAAGUUAAUUAAUCUAACGGAACUCAUUUUUUAGGGGGAAAGGAAUCAAUUUACAGGCAUAUACCUUCAAAAAUUAGAUUACUCAAUUUACAGGCAUAUACCUCUGCAAAUAGAUUUAAUGUCAACGUAGUCAAUCCCAAAAAGUCUACACAAGUACAAAAAUGGUGCAAAUCACGGGAAGCUUAUCCGUCUUAUCAACGCUUGAAAACGUGCUGAGAAUUUGUUAGAUUGAACACCGUGUGGACUGACUCCAUCAGUUGCCCCACAAAAGUUAAUGCAGUCCGCAAUAGUUGUACGCCAAAGCAUUAUAAUUUUUCUAUUGCCUUUUAAAUUGGCCAGUUGCUAAUGAGAACUCAAAAAUGACAGUCGUAAUUUUAUGAACCACCAAUAAUAAUGGAGCCUCUUAUGUUGAGUUUUAUUACAGUCUCUGAAUUCUGACUUUUUUUUAUUUUUUUAUUUUUUUAAAGUCCUGUACGCUGGUGGCGUAUGUAUUAUACAAUCUGGGUAUAUCUAUUGGGAGUCUGAUUCAUACAUAUGAAACAUUUAGUGACAGAAUAAAUUCGAAUUAGACUGGGACCACACCAUUUUAUCCUGAGGCCACACUCUUAUAAGGUAAAAUCAAUAAUUUUUAUAUCAAGAAGUGACAUAAACUUUGUUUCCCAACUUUUUAAAUAUAUUGUUUAUUUAAGGAGAACUUUACGUGAAGUGAUUUUAUUUGUAUAAAAAUGAGCUAACUUACUGCUUUUUUUUUUUGCCAUAAUUUAUAAGUAAUAACGUCUGCGCUAAUGAAAAGUUUCAAUCAGAUAUACAAGUUCCAAUAUAGUAUGCUACUGAUAAAAAAAUAAAAAAAUAAAACAUCAUCCUGCUGUUUAUUUGAUGGAAACCAAAUGUUUGAAGUAGCUUGAUUUACAAGAACCCGCUUUGCGAGUCCAUGUUUUGUCUAGGAAUCCUCAGUAGCAUAGGCGGUGCCACGUUAGGACUAGAGCCCCCCUAACUUUCAAAAUUACAAAUUUAAUUUUAUAUUUGUCUCAUUUAUUAUAAAAUUCCUUAUUAAAAUUAAACAAAUAAUCAAAAUAUUAAGUAUUUAUCUUUAACUUCCAACCCACAAAGAUAUUGUUAUUUUGAGAUUUGUUGCACGCUAACUCUCCUCACACAAAGAAAAAAAGAAAUUAUUUUAUCUUAUUGCGUUUAUUAAAAUGAUUUUACUUCAAUAAAUCUUAUGACACUUAAAAUUCAAUUUGAUGUUUAUAUUACAUAGGUGGGUUCUAAUAACAAAUUUUCAAAAUUGAAAGAGAUUGAUAGGUUAACAAGAAAAAUAGUUGAUACUAAAAAAGAUAAAUUAUGUUCAUUAAUUUGUUUAUUGAUAACAUUAGUAUUAAAUUUACUUGUUGUCAUAACUACAGUAGUAAAAGGCAUUUUCAACUAUGAAUUUUGUGAAAAAUCGUCUAUGAAAUUAGAUUAGAGAUUAAUAAUUGAGUAAUAUUAUUAUUACACAUGUAGAAAAAGAUUAAUUUUGUAUUCUUGAUGAUAAGUUUAUUUUUUAACGUUUUUAACAUAUGAAAACACGUCGAGAUCAAUUAUAAAUGUAUUGAAUAUAUUAAUGAAUUUUUAUUUUUGAUACUUGUUAUUUAUUGACAUUUUUCAAAUUACAAUAUUAUUUAUACUUAGCCCCUGCUAAGUUUAAUUUCUGGCACCGCCACUGCUCAGUAGCUUUGCGUUAUCAAUCACAAUUAAUAGAAGCAUCAAAAAUAGCUUUUUUUUUAAAUGUAAUAUAAGAUUUGUACUUCUAAGUUCAGCAUUUGAGUUCGUUACGAUGAAGUUUCUGAGUUUCUUUACGAACUAACAUAACAUCCUUUGCAUUUUCUCAUCAAAUAAUAAUAAUAAUAAUAAUAACAUCCUUUAUUAGCCGAGUCAGGUAUAAAAGGUGCUGAUGGGCAAGUGUGUCGAAGCAGAGUGAUUCGUGAUUAUCACAAAUGUGAUCUUAACUAGCUCUGUGUGAAACUGGUCGAUAUGAAUAUAAAAAGAAAUUGUAAUUCAACUUUUAAAGUCUCUCUGUCUCAACCAUUGUAAUAUCUUAAUCAAAAGGUACAUUUGAUGGAAAAAAAAAUAUUUGAUGGCAAAAAAUAUUUAGACUUUCCAUUCUCUCUCCGCCAUAGUUUUGAGGAGAUAAAUGCCCAGUAAGCAAGUUUGAUCAGUUGCUGUUAGGAUCCAAAUAAACGUUACUUAGUCAAUUAAUUUGUCCAUUAAUCUAGACCAAAAAUGUUUAUUCUAUUUUCAUAAUUCAACCCCAACCUUGGGCAUGGAUUUUUUUUUUUAAAAUUGUUAUAAUAUGAGAAUCUAAAAAUUAAAAUUUAUGGUGUGUUUACUUGUGAAAUUGGAAAAUCAAAAUUCACAGUGGGAAUGAUUGAUAUUUUUUACUUGUUAAAAUGGAAUGGAGAAUCGGAAUAAAAUAUGUAAUAUCCACAUAUUUUUUAGUCAAGGAAAAGAAAUUUGAUUCGCAUGGGAUUGAGAAUCAAGCUUGCAUUCCUUGAAUUCACCAUUUUUCCCAACACACAUUUCAUAAUUUCAUUUUUUGUCCUCAAUUAAAAUAUUAUUUUAAGUUAUUGUCAUUAUUCUAAUAAUAAUAAUAAUUUUAAAAUAAUAAUAAUAAUCAUCAUCAUCAUCACCAUAAUGAUAAUGAUAAAUAUAAUAAUAAUGAAAAUAACAACAACAACAAUAAUAAUAACGAAAAAUAAUGAUAUUAAUAACCAUAAUAAUAAUAAUAAUGAUAAUCUAAUAAUACUAUAAAUAACUAUUAUUAUAAUAGUAAUAAUACUUUACAGUUAGUAAUUUCAUCAUUUCACAAGCCUCCUUCAGUGGCUGAUUUUGGGCAUCUUGCGGAUCUUCGCGUUUAUCAUAUCCACCUUUUAAAAGAAGAAGAAGAUGAUGACGAUGAUGUGGUGUGUGCGUGUGUUUAGAACUGUACCUUCAGCCAGUCUUUAGUUUUAAGAAAGAGUAGGAGAGGAGGGGGAAAAAAUGGAGAGGAGUGGAGGGGUAAUGAGAAAUUGAUUUCUAUUGUUUGGCUUUACAAAAAAAAUUAAAGGGAAAGAAAUUACAUGUUUUUUUUAUUUGGACAAGUACACCCAUUGGACUUUAGUGUUAAAAUGUUAAUAUUAACAGUAAAUAUAAUAAAAAAAAUUAAACUAUAAAUUAAAUUAAUCUAGAACACAAAUUAAUAAGAAAACAUUUAAUUUUAUAUUAUAUUUUUAAUUGAUUGCUUCUUAUUUUAUAAUCAAAAUAACUAACCAAAAAGUAGUAGAUGGACGACUAAAAGUUGCAUAUCGACGUAGAAGAACCUGACAUACGGCUCAAACGGUGAUUGAUUUACUGAACUGCAACCAAAGGAACCAUUUUUUGGAUAAUUUCAGAGCAAUAGUAUUCAGACUACUAUGUAAAAAACAUUCUAAUCUUGGAAAACUUUUCCACCUUAUGAAACAUUGGAAAAAUCUUCCCAACUUGACACAUCGACUUGUUGACCUCUCAAUUGCACUUGUGUGUGGCUUCUAUAAAUUUGGCGUCCAGCAUGCUUGUUUUCUGCACCUUUGUAUGUUUUCCAAAAGCUAAGAGUCAUCAAAAGAUCUUUUGAAUUUCAAUGACACUUCGGUUUAACUUUAUUUAUUUGAUUCUGUUUUUGUAAUAUCAAUGGGGUCACCAACCCUCAGUACAGUAGUUCCUUCACUUGUUUUGUUGAUCCUAUUUUUUGUGUUAAGUUUUUUAAUAACUGUUUCUUCAGAAUCUAAUGAAGAAGCUGAUGCUCUUCUCAAAUGGAAAGCCAGCCUUCAAAGCCAUAACCAAUCUCUCCUUCCUUCCUGGACUAACGCCACCACCAAUGUUUCGUCCAAAAUAAGCCCGUGUGCUUGGUAUGGAAUCAGUUGCGAUGACGCUGGAAGAGUCACCAACAUCAGCCUCAGAAAUACGGGAUUAAGUGGUACGCUUCGUGAUUUGUCAUUCUCAUCGUUUCCUCAACUUGUGCUUCUUGAUCUCAGUCAUAAUGGAUUGUUUGGUACCAUCCCAUCUCAAAUUGGUAACCUUUCGAAACUCAGCUACAUUUCUUUAGAUUCCAAUCAGUUUUCCGGAAAAAUUCCAGCGGAGGUUGGUCUUCUGACUCAUUUGAAGAUCCUUGGUUUUCAAUUCAAUCAAUUAGAUGGCUCAAUUCCACCAGAAGUUUGUCAGUUAAGUUCUAUCGAGGAGCUUUUCUUAUAUGCUAACCAUUUAAACGGGUCGCUUCCUCUUUUUGUGGGUAACUUGAGCAAUAUCAUUCGAUUGUAUAUUAGUAAUAAUUCACUUUCUGGUUCUAUUCCUAUGAACAUUGGAAACUUGAAAUUUCUUUUUGAAUUAGAUUUGAGUGAUAAUCAACUUGGUGGUUCAAUUCCUCUUUCUUUUGGUAACUUGAGUAACUUGGCUCGAUUGUACCUUUAUAAAAAUUUACUCAUUGGUUCUAUUCCGUCAAGUUUAGGAAACUUGAAGCUCAUUGACUUACAGUUGAGCAUUAACCAACUCACUGGUUACAUCCCAUAUUCCUUAGGUAAUGUAACAAGUUUAUCAUCUUUACUUCUAGCCAAAAAUAAGCUCUAUGGUUCUCUUCCGCCAUUUGUUGGUAAUUUGACCAACCUAAAAGAAUUAUACCUCCUUAAUAACAGCCUAUCCGGUUCCAUUCCUCCCUCCCUUGGGAAUUCAAUGUUAACCUAUCUAGUAUUGGAUUUCAAUCAUUUUACAAGUUAUUUACCGCACAAUGUUUGUCGAGGUGGAGCAUUACAGUAUUUUACUGUUUCUGAAAACCAUUUUCAAGGAACAAUCCCUAAAAGCUUGAGAAAUUGCACAAGCUUAUUCCGAGUACGCUUUAAUGGAAACAACCUUACUGGAAAUAUAUCAGAAGCUUUGGGCACUUAUCCUAACUUGACUUUUAUAGAUCUCAGCCGCAAUAAUUUUUACGGUGAAAUCUCAUUUAAUUGGGGGAAAUGCCCAAAAUUAGGCACUCUCAAUGUUUCGAUGAAUAACAUUACUGGAGGUAUACCGCGUGAGAUUGGAAACUCGUAUCAACUACAAGCACUUGAUCUUUCAUUGAAUCAUAUAGUUGGGGAGAUUCCAAAGGAACUGGGAAAGUUAAAUUCUCUAACCAAGCUCAUUUUGAGAGGGAAUCAACUGACAGGGCGUCUACCUACCGAAAUCGGCUCACUCAUUGAACUUGAAUACCUCGACUUUUCUGCUAAUAAGUUCAACAAUUCAGUACCAGAAAGUCUCGGCAACUUGCUGAAAUUGUACUACUUGGGCUUAAGCAACAACCAGUUUGUCCAAGAAUUGCCAAAGGAAUUGGAGAAGCUAGUUCAACUUUCAGAAUUAGAUGCAAGUCAUAACCUCUUUGGAGGAGAGAUACCAUUUCAAAUAUGCAGUUUGAAAAGCUUGGAAAAGUUGAAUCUCUCCCACAAUAAUCUCUCCGGUUCGAUUCCAAAUUGCUUUGAGGGAAUGCACGGUCUAUCAGUCAUUGACAUUUCUGAUAAUCAAUUGCAAGGCCCAGUUCCAAAUAGCACAGCAUUUCGGAAUGCCCCAGUGGAAGCGUUAGAGGGGAAUAAGGAAUUGUGUGGAAGUGUGAAAGGAAUGCAACCAUGCAAAGUUUUCUCGACACACAAGCAAAAUUCUGGAGCCAAGUGGUUUGCACUAGUGUUCCCUGUUUUAGGAGCACUAUUUGUUUCAAUGGCGUUGAUAGCAAUUUUCAUUCUCCGAAAGCAUAAGUCAGACUCAGGAGAUCGACAGAGUAGCAACCAGAACCCUCAGGGAUUGUUUUCUAUAUUAAAUUUCGAAGGGAAACUCGUGUACGAUGAAAUUGUUAGAGCAACAAAUGAUUUUGAUGCAGAGUAUUGCAUUGGAAACGGUGGACACGGAAGUGUUUAUAGAGCUGAGCUACCAUGUGGGGAAGUCGUAGCUGUUAAGAAAUUUCACUCACCACUCCCAUGUGAUCAGAUUGCAGAUCAAAAAGAAUUCUUGACCGAAGUUCAAGCCUUGACAGAGAUACGACAUCGAAACAUUGUGAAGUUUUAUGGAUUUUGCUCACAUGCCCGACACUCUUUUUCGGUCUAUGAAUUUCUUGAAAGGGGUAGCUUGGCUGCGAUCUUGAGCAGUGAUGCAGCAGCACAAGAACUGGGUUGGAUUCAGAGAAUGAAUGUGAUCAAAGGCGUAGCUGAUGCUCUGUCUUACUUGCACCAUGACUGCUUUCCUCCGAUUGUCCAUCGAGACAUAUCAAGUAAGAACUUGUUGCUGGAUUUGGAAUAUGAAGCUCAUGUUGCAGACUUUGGAAUCGCUAAGUUUCUGAAGCCAGACUCGUCCAACUGGACUGAAUUUGCAGGCACAUACGGAUACGUUGCACCAGGUAUUUAUGUAGUACAUUCAGCAGACUUGUAAAAGCUUACUAGUUUAUGCACAUUUAUCUCAUAAACAGAGUAAACAUUUUUUUUUUUGGGUCCUUGACCUUGCAGAGCUUGCUUACACAAUGAAGAUCACAGAGAAAUGCGAUGUGUACAGUUUUGGAGUGUUAGUGUUGGAAGUGAUCAAAGGGAAGCAUCCAAGAGAUUUUCUUUCUUCGAUUUCAUCUUCAUCUCUCAACACGGAUACAGCACUUGAUGAAAUGUUGGACCCGCGUCUUCCAGCUCCAUCAUGCAGUGUUCAAGAAAAACUGAGAUCAAUCGUGGAGGUUGCGUCUUCAUGCUUAAAUGAGAGUCCGGAGUCUAGACCAACUAUGAAGAUAGUCAGUCGACAAUUGCAGAUUUCAGCUGCCUUGACUGAGUCUUAAUUUUCUAAGUAUACUUCUAAUUUACUUGGUGUCUUUUUUUUUUUUCUUUCUUCUAAUUUGCUUGGUUUAUUUGUCUCAUGUACUGUCGUUUGAUUGGUUUAGUUUUCAAGAAUCAGGAGGCGUUGGUUAUUACGUCAUCCAUAUAUAAUUGGUAUAUGGUGUACUCUUUUCAUUUAUAAAUAAAGUUUGCUCAUACCUUAGAAGUUUAGUUAAAAGAACGCAUGGGGCAGUGGUGAGCACAUUUGAGGACAUGUGGAGUCUGUACAAUGAAGAACAAGAUUAGUAAGACAGUUUGUAAUAAUUAAAAAUAAUAAUUUCUUGCGACAUGUACAAAAAGGUGAACCCCUCAAAUUUAAACUUGAAAGUGCGUACCACUGUAUUAAUUAAUGGCUGGCUCUUACGUACCAAUAAUGUUAAAUUAAAUGUUAAAAGAAAGGAAUAGAUAUGGGGAAAAAAUUAAAAAUUGAGGAUAAUUUACAAUGUAGUCCUAGUGAUUUAACCAAAAAUCAAAUAAAGCAAUAAUAAUUAGUUUUUUUUUUUUGAAUGAUUUGUCUUAGCUUUGAGUAAACGAUUUGAAGGAACUUAUCGCUCUCACCAAUUGUCUUGAAUGCUCUAAUGGCUUAUACUUUGUAGAAUCGCCAAUGUUGUGAUAACAACUUUGAUGGUUAAAGUUUGAUUGUGAAUCUCGAUUGAAUGACUUAAUUUACGUUAAUCUUGUUUCUGGAUGUUUAAUUUUGUCAUGUCAAAGUUAAUGCAGCCACAAAAGAGUUAAGCGGGCUGGAGUCAGAGAAUGAAUGGGAUAAAAGGCGUUGCCGAUGCCUUGUAAUAUUCGUUUGUUGCCAUUUUGAGGAAUAUUAUUAUGCAACACAUUCUAUAGAGAUAUAACAGCUUACUAAUUUAUACGCAUUGAUCUUUAAAAAGAGAGUAAACAUUUUUUUUUCUUUUUUUUAUUUGUCCUUGACCUUGUAGAGCUUGCUUACACAAUCAAGAUCACAGAAAUAUACGAGGUGUACAGUUUCGGAGUGUUAGUAUUGGAAGUGAUCAAGGGAAAGCAUCCAAGAGAUCAGAUGUAUUUUUUCCGCAGUUUCAGCUUCAUCUUCCAAUGCCGCUUGAUGAAAUGUUGGAUUCUCGGCUUCCACUUGAUCCAUAGUUCGAUGUUCAGAGCAAGUUGGUCAUUACUGUUUGAAUUUUAAAUAUCUGCCUUCAUUUCUGCUGCACAAGUUAAUUAUACGCAUCAUGCUUAUGCAGGCCUUAAUUCGGAGCAAAAUAAUGUUAUUAGUUGACAGAAUGUGCAACUAGAGAAUGAUGUAAUUCAUAGUUAAUUAGUCUGUCUUCAACACAAAAUAGAAAAUUUAGUUGACAGAUGGCCACAAAAGACUAGCUUCGUUUUUGCUAAAAAAUAAAUAAAAUCUGCUUCUAUGCCCCCAAUUUCAAAACUAUCAUUGAUAUAGAGCCAUUGAACCUGGGCUUCAUAUUCAACUUUUCAGCGUUCCAUUUCUAGCCUGAAGUUUUUGAGAGCUUGGACGCACUUGACACUACAUAACCCUCGCGAGAUAUGUCCCAAAUCCCCUGGGCCAUAAUUUUGCUACAAAACCCGACAGAGUUAAUGAUCCUUAUUAAUUAUGAAUUACAUCGUCCUUUGGUUGCACAAGUUUGGAUAAAAAUCGGCUGAGUUUGUGUGGACUAUUAAGCACUAAAUCAAUAGUUGAGAUUUGUCCAACGUGAAUUAACAAAAAAAUUGUGAAUGAAGUUUUGUUUGGUAUUAAGGUAUUGUUAUCUUUAAAUCACAAUUAUUGUGAAAAAUAAAGGUAUAAUAAAAAAGUAAAAGUUAGUAAUUUGUAAUAAAUAUAACUUUUAAAUGAUAAUUUUGAUAAAAAUAAUAAAGAUACAUAAGUUUUCUAUCAUUUCAGUUUCUAAGUUAUAGUGAUGAUAGAGUUACAAACUCUUAUAUAAAUUUAUUUUGUAUAAACUGAUGCAUAAAUUAUUUGUUAGAUAAAAUCAUAAAAAUAUAAAAUAAUAAAAUAAAUUAUGUGAAACAAAAAAUAUUUUAUUUAAUUUAAUUAUGUCAUAUUAAUUUAUAUAAAAUAAAAUUAUAUAAAAAUUUAUAGUUAGGUUAUUGAUCUGCACCGAUAUGUAGAGUCUUCUAUUUAUGUUAGCGUAAACCAGCACCUAUACAUACAGUAUUCUAUUUGGUUGAGUGCACUAUCCAAUUUUUCCGUCCAAUAUGAUUACUCUUAAAAUAAAAACCAUGGACCCCAUGAACGAGACGUCACGUGGGCCCACUAAUCUUGAUGAUCAUAUCUUUUUCAUGCCAAAAAAAAAACACCCCCGCUUUACAACGACACCGUCUUUUCUUUGUCUUUCCUUUCGUUUUCGUCAGCCUCCACCAACCCUUAAAUAGCCGCCCCAUUUUCUUUCACUCCGAGCCAUUGUCCACGCGUCCCACCAUGAUUGCUUCUCCGGUUCUAAUCACAAGAUUUUCGUCAAAUGGACGUACGAGAUGGGCCCCAUCUCUGCGCAGACCACACCGUCUAUUCUCUUUGUGAAAAGAAAAUAAAACUAUUAAAAUCUGUAAAUCAUUCUAUCUUCUCGUGAUAAAUUGAAUUCAACUCUUUUUUUAAUCUUUUAUUUAUAAAUAGUAAAUAAAAAAAUGGGUAAUUUUUAAAAACCUCCCUUGAGGUUUGGGCUUGUUGCAAGUAGAUAGCGAGAAUUGAUUUAUUUGUAAAAAACCCCCUACCGUCAGUUAAGUUUAACAUUGACCGUUAGUUGACCGUGCAAAGACAAUAUUACCCUUAACAAUAGUUUAUAAACGAAAAUAACUAAAAAAAAACCAAAAUUAUUAGCUAUUUUACACUUUUUAAAUUAUUGAUAUUUUCUUAAAGUUUCUAUAAAAAAGUUAAAAUUAAAAAAUUAAAAAAUCCUCUUUAAAUUAUUGAUAUUUCCUUAAAAUUCCUACAAAAAAGAUAAAAUUAAAAAUUUAAAAAUGAAAUAGUCAUAAUCUUUAACUAUGAUAUUGUAAAUUUUUAAAAUUGACAAGGAUAAAAUUAUCAAAAAAUAGGGUUUGUGCUUUUUGCACCAAUAAUUUUAGUUUUUUUUUAGUUAUUUUCGUUUACAAACUAUUGUUAAGGGUAAUAUUGUCUUUGCACGGUCAACUAACGGUCAAUGUUAAACUUAACUGACGGUAGGGGGUUUUUUACAAAUAAAUCAAUUCUCGCCAUCUACUUGCAACAAGCCCAAACCUCAGGGGAGGUUUUUAAAAAUUACCCAUAAAAAAAUCAAAAGAAUUCAACUGAAUAUUCCUUUUGAGAAAUUAUAAAAACAGAAUUAUACAGUGGUGAACUUCCUUGCACGAACAUGACCUUGAUUUAAUUUAUUGAACAUACGUAUAUGUUACUUUAAUAUAUUUUUUUCUUAUAGUUUACAAAAUGUAGUGCUUAUUUUCUUUCGUAUACCAAAUAAUGGAUGUGUAUGUAGGUUGAAGCAAAUAUAAUUUUAUAAACUAACAUUAUGUUGUAUCGUAUUUGGUAUACUAUUUAAUUUUGACAUCUUAUGACAUUAUUAUUAAAUCUUCAAUAAAGAUUCUUCAUUGUAUUAAACAAUUUUCUAUAUAAUAUAAAUUAUGUAUUUCGUCAUAAUAGAAGCUGUCAAGAAAUAUUGUUUCAACUUUAUAUUAAGAAUUUGUAUUCAUAAAUAUAUAAUAUGAUCUAAACCUUAAACAUUAAAAUUGUUUCAUAACUUAAUUAUCAAUAAAAGAUUUAACAAUUUUUUAAUUAUUGAUUGUAAAUAUUAGCACAUUAUAAUACAAUAUUAAAAUAACCUUAAUCUAUUACUUCACAUUGUAAAUCUAUAGAAUUAAUUUGAAUUAGUAAAAUUAUUAAGCCAAAGUUAGAAAGAUAUAUCAAAUUUGGCUAGAACUACCUAUUAAAGAAACAUUUACGUAUUCUAUAUGGAUACAUUAUGUGGCAGAAAAAUGAAAACUUUGGCUAGUCAACCAAUUAAUCAAACAAGGUCCCCUGAAUAUAAUGAGAACUUGACCUUUUGUUGUAUAUUAGCAACAAGUUGAGUGUUGUGUGACUUAAGAUUAAAAUAUUAAUUAAACUACAAAAUUAUAUCAUUUAAGAAAUUAUAUUUAGGUAUUUACUUAAUUAAAAUUUUAGUUAGCCGCCUAGUGACUUAGAUUUAGAAUUUUAGAUAAGACUCUAGUUCAUCUCUCAUGUGAGAAUGUUAAUUCACUAAGCAUCAUGUGGCAUUUUCUUUAAAGAUUUUUUAAUUGUUUGAUGGUUGUGAGAGUAAAAUUUAAAUUAAUAAAAAUAAAUAUAAUUAUCAUGUUAACGGGACCACAUCUUAGUCGCUAAUUCAUAUAAGAAUAUGAAUUCAAAUAUCACAUAAAUAAAAUUAAAAAAAAAUAGAUUUAUUAACAUCGCAGUUACAAGUUGACUUUAAAUUUUUAAUGAAUCUGUCAUUAUAUUUUUUUCGCUGAAUAAUCAUAUUAAUAUUUAAGUUAUUAGAUAAGGAUCCAACAUUAACAUUUGAAGUUUAUGCUUUAAUAAAUUGUGUAAAUUCGAUAACAAAAACAUUAAAUUCAAACAAAAGUAAAAUUUACAUGUUGUUCAGCUAGUCUUGGAAUAACAGAGUACUUGUGCAAUACUUAUUACGACCAAAAGAAAAUUUUUUGAUUGGCCAUGUCUUUCAAAUUCGUAAUCAAAUGGCAGAUGUUUUAACUAAAUUUGUACUCUGUCGCUUUGAUUUUUAUGUUUGGCUCGAUCCCAGCCAAUUACUUUAUUAUUUUUUAUUGGUUAUUCGGAAAUAAAUGAAGUCUAUUAUUCAGAAAAAUAAUUACCUGCAAAAAUCGUACUCCAUUUUCAAUUAUUCGUAUCCAGAAUCUUACAAAAAGGUAAUAAUAUUCCUAAUUAAUUAAAAAAAAUGAUGCGCAAGCAGGCAAGUCCACACGAAACCGACCGAAAAGCGCAAAAGAAAAACAAAAGAAAAGAAAAAGAAACACGUUCAUUCAAUUUAUCGUGAUACGAUAAAUGCUUAACAAAAUGUCAUAUCAAUUUCACCAUCAAAACUACGGUAAUUUCUUAUAUAGAUUAAAAAAAAUUAAAAGCAAAUAAAAACAAAAAAAAAAAGCAACAACUGUACUGCAACUUAGCGUUCCCAAUUUUCCAAUAAAUAAAAUAAGAGUUAUUUUAAAUAUCCCUCCCGAUUUGAUAUAAUUCCAGUUAGAUGGUGAAAUUAAUUAUAUUCUCACUUAUCUUCUUUACGGUUAUUAUACAUACACAUAUAACGUUAGUAUUUGAGGGCAAAAAUGUACAAGACAUGUUGAAAAUCUAAAAAAAAAAUUAACAAUUAAAAAUGGUUUGAAAUUCAUUAGAUAAUUAUAUUAUCCAAUUACACUAAAUAUCUAUUGUGUAAAAUAGUGAAUUUUCUCUUUCUCCAGCACAAAAAAGUAAUGAAAAUAUCUUGCUCUCACAUCAAGAAUCAAAGCAUUUUCCACUCUACUCCCCUACUCUCAGUUGCUAGAACAAAAGUAAAUAAACAAUAUAUAACCCAUGAAAAAGACAAGCAUGGGUGGUCGGAAAAGGCCAUCGACCAGUGACGAUUGACGGCGGUCGGGAUAUGCCACUGGUAUUGGAGUUUGUAAGAAGUUAGUUACUUUAUUAAAGUCUAAAAUUUUUAAAUACCUUUAAUUUUUCUUAUUUUUAGAGAUUUCAUAAGUAGUUGUUGGUUGGGUUUGAUUUUCUUGUUCAUUGGGUUGAUGGUGGAAAAAUUGAUUAAAAAGAGAAUGGGUUUAGCAAUAUGUGGGCAUGAGUUGAAAAAAAAUUGUUAUUGGUUGUGUUUUUGUUUGUGAUUUACACCAUAAAUAGUAUAAUAAAACAUAUAAAACUAAUAAUUUGUGAUUUUUAUGACAAAUAUGUAUGUAAAAUAGAAGUAGUCUUAGCUGUAAUGUUUAUUUUUUCGGCCAAAGUUUACUAAAGUUGAUCUGUUUAUAAAUUUGUAGUAUUUUUGUGCGCCCGUCGCACAAACACAAUUUUUGUGUUUUUUAGCGACAGGGGCCUGUCCCCCGUGCGACAGACCCACGUUGCACGAACACAGUUUUUGUUUUUGGGCGACAGCAUUAUCGCCCGUGUGACGGGCUUAUGUCGUCUGAAUUCAAUUUCUGUGUUUUUGGGUGACAAUGCUUGUCAUACAGGCGACAACCCUUGUCGCCCAAAAAACACAGUUUAUGCUUAAUAUUAAUUCAAAAUAAAAAUAGUAAACAAACACACACACACACAUAAUUAAAACAUAUAUAUACAUUAUUAUUAUCACAAUUAUUAUUAAUAACUUUAUUAAAAUGUAUUACUAUUAUCAUUAUUUUUCUUUAUUAUUGUAAACGUUGUUUUUAUUUUUUAGUAAUAUCGUUGUUGUUGUUGUUGUUGUUGUUAUUAUUAUUAUUAUUAUUAUUUUUCUUCUUCUUCUUCUUCUUCUUCUUCUUCUUCUUCUUCUUCUUCUUCUUAAUUAUUACUUUGUUUUCACUUAUUAGUGUCUGCAUAUUCACAUAUGAUCGGGACGAAAUGCCAACUGAACCGUCUGUUGUUUCACUAGAACCUGCAGCAGAAAUGGAUUGGUUUGACUUAGCAGACGAGAAUAAGUUUGCUCUCCCUGAUUUGAAUGAUGAGGUUCACAUUGAGUAGGUGACAGCAAUAGAAGCUUCUCUUGAGAGGAUGCCAGCAAAUGACGAUGGAGAUCACUAUGCGGAUGAACCUACAAAAAAUGAUAUUGACAAUGAUUUGCCUCACGCUGAUAGCGAAGGAGAGUUUAAUGAAGUUGUUGGCGCUGCGCUUGAGUUUUUGUAUAUUCUGUAUAAAUGUGAUACUAACGAACUCACAUUAUAGUGACAAUGCCAUGUAUAAAGUAUAACUUAACUAUCAUAGCAUAUUGUUAGUGCAAUUGUUCUUUUUGUGUAUAUGAGUGACUGUUGGAUGUAUAGGUUGAUGAAAUUGAGUCAAUUUGUGACUGUCACCAACUGUAAGCUGCGGAAAUGCACAUGUCGUUGUAAUUUAAAUUAUGAUGUCAUUCUACUUAGUAUUAUUUUCUAAUUCAAUUAACUCAUACUAUUUUUUUUUCCUUUUGGUACAAAUUUAAAUGUUUGUUAUUUAUGUUGUUGGUUUGGUGAUAUACAACUUGAUGGUUUGGAAUUUACUUAUUUCUUUAAACAACUAAAAUACUACUAGUUUAGUGGUGAUGGAAUCCUUUAAUGUAUUUUGGAGACUGACAUAGUCUGUUGCUGAGAAAACUAAAUUAUAUUUUAGUGGUUUUGAUUUCACGCGACAGUUUCUGUCUCCCAAGAGACGAGCAUUCGUCACUCAAAAUUAGUUAAACAAGUUUUCUGUAAUUUGGUGAGACAGCCACCUGUCUCCCGGGAGAUGAGCAUUCUUCACUUAAAAUUACAUAAACAAGUUUUCUGUAAUUUGGGGAGACAAACACCUAUUGCCCAGGAGACAGUGCAUGUCACUUAAAAAGUAGGCGCGAUUGCGAUAGGCCCUGUUGCGUGCGCGAUUUUAUAGAAAUCCAAAAUAGCCUCUUAAGCUUGUUGUCGCAAACGUUUUGUACUAGAUGAUGAGUUUACAAAACAUGACUUUGCAUGAAUGCACCAUCAACACCUUAAUCUACCUAAAAUGAGACAAAAAAUCCCUAAUAGAUAUUUUGUCGAGCACCUCAUGUGCCAUUUAUUAACUACCAACUUCAUUAAAUCAUUUUUUAAUAUUUACUCGACAAUCAAUCCUAAUGCUCAUUUAUAAUCAUCUAUACACUCAUCUGUCAUCAAUCAAUCUUAGUAUAUGUUACUUUAAUUCAACUGAUAUUCCUUUUGAGAAAUUAUAAAAACAAAAAAUUAUACGGUAGCCAACUUCCUUGCAUGAACAUGACCUUGAUUCAAUUUAUUGAAUAUACAUAAAUGUUACUUUAAUAUACUUUUUUUUAUAGUUUACAAAAUGUAGUGCUUAUUUAUAAAAUUUUUUGAUUCGCCAUGUCUUUCAUAUUUGUAAUCAAAUGACAGAUGUUUUAUCUAAAUUUGUAUUCUGAUGCUUUGAUUUUUAUGUUUGGCUAGAUCCCAGGCAAUUACUUUGUUAUUUUUGAUUGGUUAUUCGGAAAUAAAUGAAGUCUAUUAUUCAGAAAAAUAAUUACCUGCAAAAAUCGCACUCCAUUUUCAAUUAUUCGUAUCCAAAAUCUUACAAAAAGAUAAUAAUAUUCCGAUCUAAUUAAAAAACGACACGUAAGCAGACAAGUCCACACGAAACCUACCUAAAAGCGCAAAACAAAAAAGAAAAAGAAAAAGAAACACGUUCAUUUAAUUUAUCACGAUACGAUAAAUGCUUAAUAAAAUGUCAUAUCAAUUUCACCAUCAAAACUAGGGUAUUUUCUUUAAUUAUAUUAAAGAAUUUUUUUAAAAGCAAAUAAAAACAAAAAAAAAAAAGCAACAAGUGUACUGGAACUCACCGCUCCCAAUUUCCCAAUGAAUAAAAUAAAUAUAAAGGACUCGUGCGUGCCUUCCAUUUACCUCCUGUUUUUGUCACCCGCCUCUUCCUCAUCUCGCCACCUGUUUCCCCCACUACACCCCCAAGACGUCACCGUUUCAUUCUCACUCCUUCCUCACACCCCUCUACUUUUCCCCACAUUCCUUCGUUUAGUAUCAACUCAAAAAUUCGUUUUUUUAACAUUAAUAAUAAUAAUUUUAUUGAAAUAAAUCAAUCAAAAAGGUAACCCCAAAUAUCUCCUCCAGCUUUUUGCUGCUUCUUAAUUUUGAUCGACUAUGACGAUGUACUAAAGCUUCAAUUUUUUUCAGUUUUUUCAGUCAACGCUUUUGCUUCAAGAUUUCGUUUUACCUUCCUUGAAAAUUAAAGCUCACCUAAUUGAUACGAUUAAAAUUCUUUUUUUAGCUGAAGAUUGAUACAAUUUUCACUUCAUUUUUUUCUUAACUUUGUAUCCGGAUUUGCUACUU
rnacentral:lncRNA from 1 species